GCGCCUGUAGCUCAAUUGGAUAGAGCGUCGGACUUCGGAUCCGAUGGUUGCGGGUUCAAGUCCUGCCAGGCGCGCCA
rnacentral:tRNA from 1 species